AGACGAAGCCGAUUCAGAUUGGAGCAAAUCGAACAUCGAUUUGAUUCUGUCGUACCGCGUAAGCAGCCAAGAUGGCGAUCCCCGAUUCGUGACGUCACAUGAAGUUCGGCAAGCCGAUUGAACGAAUGAUUUCAGUACUUUUGACACUAAAUCGCUACCGCGUAAAAAAUCGAAGUUCGGCGCCUGAAGCCGAUUCCCAUUGGAAGUGUCAGUUGAAGCCGGGCACUUUUCAGUAACCGUGAUCAAUUUUAAUUUCUUAUUUUCACUGUUUUUCAACAAUAUUAGGAGCUAUUUACGGUGGGCGACAAAUUUUAGGAACAUCUUAAUCAAUAUAAAAUUGAUAUCGGCGUGGAUUUUCGUGUUUAAAUACCUAAAUACAGUGUCAUGGAGAUAGUCGUUUUAUGGGCUGCUGCGGAAGAAAAUGUCUUCAGAAUCUUGAGCAAAUCGAUUGCAGGAUACUUCGAGAGAAAAGCCAGUAUAUACUUCUCACAGAGAGUAGCUACAUUAAUAAUUUUAGAUUAUCAAAAGAUGCAUUUCGGACUUUGUAUCAUGACUUAGGACCAUAUUUGGAGGUCCAAUGCUCUACAACUGUGCAAUCGACUUUAAGUGACAAAUGCCCUCAAUCAGCCUGCAAUCGUGAGAUAAUAUAUCAAGUUUCCUCGGACAAAAACUGAGCAUGUAGAAGUCUCCAGAGGUUUUAAUGACAAAUUUGGAUUUCUUGGAGUACUUGGAUGCAUCCACGGCACACACAUUGUCAUUAUCCAACCUCACAAGUGGGAAGAGGCCUUCUUCAAUAGCAAGUAUUACCAUUCAUUGCAUGUUAUGUUGGUUUGUGAUGGAGAUAUGUGCAUUACAUUUGUGAUGCAUCCAAUGGGAGUGUUAGUGCUAGACUGCUAGCCAAGAUAACCAUAUUUGGAACAACAGCACUUUGAGAAGGGAAAAGGAACAUCUCCUUAAUUUAAAUAUGUUUAAGUUCAUUAAGUGGACUUGUGUGGUCCUUGAAAAGUAAAUU